rnacentral:piRNA from 3 species
GCAUUGGUGGUUCAGUGGUAGAA